rnacentral:rRNA from 1 species
UAGUGGCGAACGGGUGAGUAACACGUGGGCAAUCUGCCCUUCACUCUGGGACAAGCCCUGGAAACGGGGUCUAAUACCGGAUAACACUCCUGUCCUCCUGGACGGGGGUUAAAAGCUCCGGCGGUGAAGGAUGAGCCCGCGGCCUAUCAGCUUGUUGGUGAGGUAAUGGCUCACCAAGGCGACGACGGGUAGCCGGCCUGAGAGGGCGACCGGCCACACUGGGACUGAGACACGGCCCAGACUCCUACGGGAGGCAGCAGUGGGGAAUAUUGCACAAUGGGCGAAAGCCUGAUGCAGCGACGCCGCGUGAGGGAUGACGGCCUUCGGGUUGUAAACCUCUUUCAGCAGGGAAGAAGCGAAAGUGACGGUACCUGCAGAAGAAGCGCCGGCUAACUACGUGCCAGCAGCCGCGGUAAUACGUAGGGCGCAAGCGUUGUCCGGAAUUAUUGGGCGUAAAGAGCUCGUAGGCGGCUUGUCACGUCGGGUGUGAAAGCCCGGGGCUUAACCCCGGGUCUGCAUUCGAUACGGGCUAGCUAGAGUGUGGUAGGGGAGAUCGGAUUCCUGGUGACGGNAAAAAGGGGCNAA